UACGUAGGGUGCAAGCGUUAAUCGGAAUUACUGGGCGUAAAGCGUGCGCAGGCGGCUUUGCAAGACAGAUGUGAAAUCCCCGGGCUCAACCUGGGAACUGCAUUUGUGACUGCAUGGCUUGAGUGCGGCAGAGGGGGAUGGAAUUCCGCGUGUAGCAGUGAAAUGCGUAGAUAUGCGGAGGAACACCGAUGGCGAAGGCAAUCCCCUGGGCCUGCACUGACGCUCAUGCACGAAAGCGUGGGGAGCAAACAGG
rnacentral:rRNA from 1 species